rnacentral:lncRNA from 1 species
AUUCAAUAGACUAGAAUUGGAACUAUGGCAAGGGCAUAAAGCCCUUGGCCCUGGCUUCUAAGAAUAAGCUGACCUUAGUUGGGCCUGCUUUUUAUCCCAGUUGUAAACACUGUCUGGUUCCUUGUAGCUUUUAUGUAUGCAUUUCUGUUUUGUGUAAAGAGUUAUUUUGCAUCGGGCUACCUCAGUAUACCUUGGUUGAUCUUAAUGUAUCACCUAACUUCCUUGUUUUCUUCUGUGAUAUAAGUCUCAUCCUCGCUUUGAGACAUUACAUUCAGAUCCAACACUUUCUCUGCUGUUUGUCACCCUGCUGACUCCUUGCCCAACUGAGUACCGGAACCCUGAUUCUCCUGAGGGUUGAGGGACUGACUGAGUCCAGUCCGAGGCACAACUGUAAGGCAUUUUUUUCAAUUAGCAAUCAUGGCGGGAGAGCCCCAUUGUGGGUGGUGCCAUUACUGGACUGGCAGGGGGUGGUGCCAUCCCUGGACUGGCAGUCUUGGGUUUUAUAUGAAAGCAAGCUAAGCAAGCCAGGGGAAGCAAGCCAGUAACAUCCCUCCAUUGCCUCUGAAUAAGCUCCUGCUUCCUGACCUGCUUGAGUUCCAGUCCUGACUUCCUUGGUGAUGAAGAGCAAUAUGGAAGUGUAAGCUGAAUAAACCCUUUCCUCCCCAACUUGCAUCUUGGUCAUGAUUUGUGCAGGAAAUCCUGUCUUAAAAAAAAAAAAGUAAAUCAGACAUUCAUUUCCAUCAUUUCUUCUCCUUUGAAAGGGCAUCCUGGGGUGUCAGUCAAAAGUAUAGGAAGAAAUAUGUCCAUUGACCCUGCAAGGCCUAAAUGCAACUUACUGUAUGUUUUCUACCAAUAGAAUUAAGAAGUGUUUGUGAGUUUUUGUUACUACUCAUUUCUAGCACUGUCAGGCUGCCUAGCUAUACCUUUGUAACUAGAGUUUUCUUGAGACUAAAUAGGAACUGCCAGUGUGAAAACCUUGCUAAGUUUCUCCUAAAGUCUUUAGUAGAUAACUUUUUUAUUUUUUCAAAAAAAUUGUCUUAAUGCAAGAAAAUAUAAACAAUAAUGGCAAUUAGCUUUUUUGCAUUUAUGACUAUAAUUCUGAAGAAUUCUGUAGUUCAUAAGGAAAGGAUCUUAUUAUAAUUGUGUCUCAUACUUGACUCUUGUACUGUAUAUCAGUUUGUUAAUGAAAAUACCUCAUAGAUGAGAGCAACAAUAAUUUAACUGUGUUCAUACCAUAUUAAAACUGAUUUUUGGAUGCCCUGUUCAAAUCAGAACCCUGUGAAAUAAAAGAUUAAGAAGCAAUAAUGGGACUAUGGCAAUGUGAUUUAUGUUUUUCAUACCUGAUGAAUUUUAGCUGAAGUUUUUAAAAUAAAAGUUGUCAUAAUCUGGUGGCAGCUGUGAGCCUCCCUUGAGGACUUCCCACACACCUUCAUAGCUAUGUCUAACCUUAAGUAAAUUUGUCUUGUUAUAUAUUGUGGUCUGAAUGAAAAAUGACCCACAGUUUGUGUAUUUAACUACUUGGUCCCAGGUUGGUGGUGCUAUUUGGGGAGGUUGUGGAACAUUUACGCUGUAGAACCUUGCUGGAGGAAGAAUUGUGGAGUACUUUAAGGAUUUUUGACCUUUUCCCACUUCCUGCUUCGUGUAUGUGGAUGAGAUGUGAUCGCUCAGCUUCCUACUAUAGAAAUCUGGUGCCAUGAUGGACUGUUCAUUCCUUUGGAACAGUAGGACAAAAUAAACUCCUUCUAUAAAUUGCUUUUUGUCAUAGUAUUUUCUCACUCAACAAAUAUCUUAAAAACCUGUGUAUCAGAUAAUAUUUUCAAGUCAGAUGUUUUUAAAACUGAACUCUACCACUUAGUAGUGGUUAGAAUUUGGUAAAUACAUAUCUGAAAGAAAAAAAUU